ACGAAGAGAAUUUUUUGAUUGCGGAGUAUUCUACUCUUUUGGUCCACAAUACCCACCGGUACCUUCUCGUAUGACAUAUCCUCAUGGAGUGAAAGAGUUUGUGAGCAAAGAUGUGAGAGGGGUUCGGGUUGUACUUGUGUAGCAUGGACACAUGAAACACAUUAUGGACCUUGAAUAGUUCUGGAGGUAGUGUCAGUCUGUAGGUGGCGGUGUCAAUUCUGUUUAAGAUUUUAAAUAACUCAAUAAACUGAGAAUUUGGUUUCCUCCUCU
rnacentral:lncRNA from 1 species